CGAGCCCGGCGUGGCUGUUACACAAGGUGGCCCCAGCUGCCACCGGGCCUCCGCCCACCUCGGUGUUGCGUCCCUGUCCGGGCGGUGACUCACCGGAGGCUGUGCCUGCAGCGGAGCAGGAGCCUUGGCCCCUCAGAGGAAGUCAGCAGUCAGUUUUCUUCAACAAACUUCCUGGCCCGGGUCUUGAGGCGCCCCUCCUGGCCCCAGAGGUCCCCGUCCCCACAGACUGGAGCAUGCCAUGAGCCUGCACCUCUCUAAGCUGCCCGCAGGCCACCAGGACUGCUUAGGAGAUCCGCGCAGAGCAGCAGCACAGGACCUGGUCACAGGAGGUGUGCAGCUGGGCCUGCAGUGACGAGUGUCUUUCACAGACACUGAACUCUGCCCAGGAAAGGUCCUGCUUCUCAGCAGUCGCCAGCACACAUGACAGUGGACAGAGCAGGUACUGAGGACGGCAAGCCCACAGUCUACCUUUCCAGUAAUGCUACUUAGGUUGCCUGGCUGAAAAAAACGAGGCAGUACAGACAAAUACACGUUAUUAACAAUAAAAUUCAGGUAAGGGAAUUGACACAAAAGGAAAACAAGGACAUGAAAUGAAAGAAAGGCAAUAGAGUUGCAUUUAAUCUAAUAUUCACUUACUGCUCAUGCGAUUGAAGACAGAACGAGACUUUCUAAGCUGUGGAGUGGAUGGGCCAGCCCUCUGCUACCCGUGUUAAGGCUCCGGAGAGCCAGAAAAACCUCAUUUGGGAGUUCACGCUGAAAAUACAGCCUUACAACUAAAUAAAGCACCAACUAGAGCUCUGAAUUCCAACAUCACAGAAAAGGCACCACAUUCCAAGGGAUUUUUCGGGGUCACGCCCUGGCAGCCCCCCAGGUGCUACCCUUUCCCAGUUCACUGAUGGGCCCUCUCAUUACACAGCUGACCUAAAUAACAUCUGAAAACUCUCGCCAUUAUGUAAACUACCUUGGCUUGGUACAGAGGCAAAAUGAGGGUAGGAAAAGGAGGAAUUCUUGCUUCUUCCUCAUCUCUUCAUAACAAGUUUCACAAAUCUAAACUGACAAAAAUCACCGAAAUUCAGCCUCGAAAGACUCCAGGCUGUGUUCAGUCAGUCAAAUUAGAGCAAGGUUUAGCUGUACAUCUGUGCCCUGAAAGCCACGGUAAGGGCUUGAAGAGCUUGCUCUUUCUGCCUCCCCCCACUCGUCAAAGCCCCAGCAGCUGAGCUGGGGUCAGGCCACCUGGCCCAUGCUGCGCAGGUUCGGGUGACACCUGCAGCGGCUGGGGUGGUCACGCACACAGGUGGCCCUUGGC
ensembl:lncRNA